rnacentral:sRNA from 1 species
GCUGGGCGUGGUGGCACACGCCUGUAAUCCCAGAGGCUCAGGAGGCUGAGACAGGAGGAUCGUGAGUUCAAUGCCAGCCUCAGCAACAGCAAGACACUAAGCAACUCAGUGAGACCCUGUGUCUA